CUAGCAUUUGUUGUAUAAUGUUAAAAAGGUCAUAUGAGGAGGUUGUUUUCAUAUUAAAUUUUUCAUUCACUUCCAGGGAUAGGAUUGGCAUGGAAGAUGCAGCACUCUUUACAUUUUAAAUAUCAAAUGUAUAUCAAGUGUUAUCCAUCCUCAUAACACCUCCACAAAUAGAGACUAGAACUUCUGAGCACCAUCACCUUGUCUGCUUUGGGACUGUCAUAGCCCAGCAAUCAGAUGCAUCAGAACAACAAAGCACAGCUGUGGUGGCCAAGGCACCUUCAGCAACAAGUAAAUUGCUUUAAUAUUAAUGAUAACGCAAUGUCAGUAUUGUAAUUAAACUUGAC